GUCCGGGCGGGAAACCCUGGCGUCGAGCAGAGGCGGGGUUCAGGAGCGGAGGGAGGGAGCUUUGCCAGCCCUCCCCCCCCCCCCCUUGACAGGAGAAAGGGCUUUCCCGCCCCCUCCCUCGAGUGAUUUCUUGGAAGGCGGGAGAAAAGCUGGAAAACACUCCAGGCCAAUGGGGACUCCACCACAGACAUCAGAAGAGCUGCAUUGCCAAGUACAAGCCAUGAGUCACGACAAAAACCCACCCAGAGCAAAAGUGUUCUUACCGGACAUCAAGGGAACGUGUUGUCGAAGGCUUUCAUGGCCGGGAUCACAGGGUUGUUGUAUGUCUUUCGGGCUGUGUGGCCAUGUUCCAGAAGUAUUAUCUCCUGACGUUUCGCCCACAUCUAUGGCAGGCAUCCUCAGAGGUUGUGAGGGAACCAUUGACCGCACAGGGAAGCAGAUGAAGAAACACAACCUGCAAACUAUUGCUUAUUUAUUUAUUUAUUAACGACAUUUAUAUCCCGCUCUUCUCACCCCGAAGGGGACUCAGGGCAGCUUACAAGUUAUAUAUACAGUAGAGACUCACUUAUCCAAAGCUAAAACGGGCCAGCAGAAGCUUGGAUAAGCGAAUAUCUUGGAUAAUAAGGAGGGAUUAAGGAAAAGCCUAUUAAACAUCAAAUUAGGGCAUGAUUUUAUAAAUUAAACACCAAAACAUCAUGUUAUACAACAAAUUUGACAGAAAAAGUAAAGUUAUGUUGCAAUUACUGUAUUUACGAAUUCAGCACCAAAAUAUCACGAUAUAUUGAAAACAUUGACUACAAAAAUGGCUUGGAUAAUUCAGAAGCUUGGAUAAGCGAGGCUUGGAUGAGUAAGACUCUACUGUACAUACAAUAUAUUAUAUUAUUAGAUAAAGGUAAAGGUUUCCCCUGACGUUAAGUCCAGUCGUGACCGACUCUGGGGGUUGGUGCUCAUCUCCAUUUCUAAGCCGAAGAGCCGACGUUGUCCAUAGACACCUCCAAGGUCAUGUGGCCGGCAUGACUGCAUGGAGCACCGUUACCCUCCCGCUGGAGCGGUACCUAUUGAUCUACUCACAUUUGCAUGUUUUCGAACUGCUAGGUUGGCAGGAGCUGGGGCUAACAGUGGGCGCUCAUUCCGCUCCCGAGAUUUGAACCUGGAGUUCAGCAGCUCAGCGCUUUAACACACUGUGCCACCAGGGGCCCUAUUAUAUUAUUAGUAUAGCACAAUAUAAGCACUAUAUAAGCAUUAUAUAUUAUUAUAUUGUAUUACACCACUAUAUUGCAAUAUUAUUAGUAAUAUUGCAUGUAAUAUAAAUAUUACACCUAUCUACAGGCCCACGAAAAAAAUCCAACAAAUGCUACACUCAGCAAAGGACGAAGGAUCCUCUCUCCUCUGCAGGAGUCUACCGUAUACCAUGAAGCUGUUGACAAGUCUGCAUAUAAUAAUAAUACAGUAGAGUCUCACUUAUCCAACGUAAAUAGGCCGGCCGAACGUUCGAUAAGCGAAUAUGUUGGAUAAUAAGGAGAGAUUAAGGAAAAGCCUAUUAAACAUCAAAUUAGGUUAUGAUUUCAGAAAUUAAGCACCAAAACAUGUUAAACAACAAUACGCAGUAAUGCUAUGUAGCAAUUACUGUAUUUACGACUUCAGCACCAAAAUAUCACGAUAUAUUGAAAACAUUGACUACAAAAAUGCGUUGGAUAAUCCAGAACAUUGGCUAAGCGAGUGUUGGAUAAGUGAGACUCUACUGUAUUAUAAUAGCUUUAUUCUUAUAUCCUGCCCCGUCUCCCCAAAGGGACUUGGGGCGAUUUACAUGGGGACCAAGCCCAGCUUACUUACGUAACCAUAUCGCCCCCUACGAACCAGCAUGAGCUCUUAGAUCCUCCGAGGAGGCCCUUCUCUCUCUCCCACCUCCGUCACAAACAUGACUGGUGGGGACAAGGGAGAGGGCCUUCUCGGUGGUGGCCCCCCAGCUCUGGAACUCUAUCCCUAGGGAGAUUAGAUUAGCCCCUAUCCUGGCCACAUUCCACAAAAAUUUGAAGACUUAUGUUCCAAUGUGUAUUUGAACUGUAUGUCCAUUUUCAUCACCAGCCAGUCUUAACCAUUUACUGCCCUAACCGUCAGCACUUUACCCUAUUCCUGAAUCUCAUUGCCUUGCAUUUUUGCACAUGUCUGCUUUCCCUGUAAUUUCUUAAUAGCCCCACCGUUUAGUCCUGAUGCUCGCUAUGUAUUUUAUGAAUGUUAUUUUACUGUUAUUAUUUUAAUUAUACAUGUUGUAUUUUAGCUCUUGAACAGGCUUGGUCCCCUCAGGGAGAUGGAAGCGGGUUAUAAAUACAAUUUUAUUAUUAUUAUUAUUAGUAGUAGUAGUAGUAGUAGUAGUAACAUCAUAUUCUGGCAAGGUUUUCAAUCACUAGCAUAUGAUCAUGGCCUUCUGAUAUCAACAGGCCAAAACAUGUUGAGCUUUUCAGUAAUUAAACAUUAUUUUUCAUCUAGUUUUAUAAUAAUAAUAUCAAUAACUUUAUUCUUGUAUCCCAUCCCAUCUCUCCAAAGGGACCUGAGGCUGCUAACAUGGGGACCAAGCCUAACAAUACACAAUAAAAUACAUCAACACAGGUACAUUUAAAUUAUAACAUGUAACAGCAAAACAUCCAAUAAAAUUAAAUUAAAACAUGUGAUUAUAUACCACUGAAGAGAAGAUUUUGCUCAAACAAAAUUUUUGGCUCUUCUCUGGAAGAUCAUACUUUUACAAAAGAUAAUGAUUUUCUAAUGGUUGUGAAUGCCAUUUUCUCCAAAGGGUUAUGGAGAUUCUGGUUUUCCAAAAGGUUAGAAUCUCUAAAUGGUCAUGCCUUUCCAAAAUUUCUUAUCUUAGCCUUCUUUUAUUAUUUUCAUUUUAGUGGCCAAACUUCAUAAAUCUAUGUUUUGCUUUUUCUUUUCUUUUUUAAAACAUGCUUAAAGUAGAUAAUGAAGCAUCCUGUCUUUUCUUUUUUCUCUGUUUUGCUGAUUCAACAUGCUCAGCAAGGGAUUUUGGCUCUUCCUGUUGUUUACCUUGUUUGUUGAGGAACACAUAGCUACUAUUAUUCCAGAUAGAGCUAAAUUCCACUCCCCCCCCCCCCCCCACUCAAGCAUGAGUGCAAUGUUUACAGCAGAUCCAGUGCUGUAACUGAACACUGAAUGUCUGGAUUUCUCCAGCCUUUCUCUAGCAUCCUCCCAAUGCCAAUGCUGCUAAAAAAAACCUUCCAACUAGUCUCAGGAUGAGAAGGAAAGGGGGUACUGAUAGGUAUAAAAAAGAGGUUGUAAAAUGGCCUUAACUGAUGUAUGCUUGUAAAUAACAACAUUUUUGUGCCCAGCCUGGUUCCCUGGUUAUAAAAUUCAUUUAAAAACGGAGGUGUCACUUGGCCCAUAAGGCUCUAAACCUUAAUACUGCUGUUUUUCCUAUUAUGCUUAAUUGUGUUUAUAUGGAUUUUUGUAUGUUAAUGAUGUUUCUGUUUUAUUUUAGUGGUGGUUUUGUUUUAAUGGACUGUUUGCUUUUAUAUCUGUUGGACCUUCUGUCCCAUAUGUAAGCUGCCCCAAGUCCCUUCAGGGAGGUGGUGGCGGGGUAUAAAAUAAAGAUAUUAUUAUUAUUAAACACUUCAGGACAAAAUUUAAUGAGAAAAGUGCCUUAUUAUAUAUAAAAUGGCAUGGUCCACUCUUGAGAUGGGGAAUUGCUUUUCUGUGAAGCAACCAGUGUGAAAGAUCAUUUUUGUUUUUCCUCCCACAAUAACUUCCCUGUUGAGAUUAGGUGGGCUCCCAAUGCUGCAUUUUCCUGAUUGCUAAGAUGUUCAGUUCCCCCUAAUGAUUAUAAUGAAAUAUCUUGUCAAUUUAGUUUGAUCUUUUUAUUGCUAUAAUUCUUCAUUUAUGAUAUAUUUUUAUCAAUAGUUCAUUUGUUUUAAAUUGUAAACUGUCUUGAGUUCCAGUCCUCAGACAAAAGGCAGUCUAUAAAUAAAGUCAGUGAGUUGGAGAAUGAA